UAGGUCUCAGUUCAGAUUGCAGGCUGCAACCCGCCUGCAUGAAGUCGGAAUUGCUAGUAAUCGCGGAUCAGCAUGCCGCGGUAAAUAACGUUCCCGGGCCUUGUACACACCGCCCGUCACACCAUGGGAGCCGGUAAUACCCGAAGUCAGUAGUCCAACCUCGUGAGGACGCUGCCGAAGGUAGGAUUGGCGACUGGGGUGAAGUCGUAACAAGGUAGC
rnacentral:rRNA from 1 species